UACGGGGGGGAGCAAGCGUUGUUCGGAUUUACUGGGCGUAAAGGGUGCGUAGGUGGUCGGGUAAGUCUCAUGUGAAAUCCCGCAGCUUAACUGCGGAACGGCAUGGGAUACUAUUCGGCUCGAGGAUUGGAGGGGGGACUGGAAUUCCCGGUGUAGCAGUGAAAUGCGUAGAUAUCGGGAGGAACACCAGUGGCGAAGGCGGUUCUCUGGGAAUGUCCUGACGCUGAGGAGCGAAAGUGUGGGGAGCGAACAGG
rnacentral:rRNA from 1 species